rnacentral:lncRNA from 1 species
CAGAAAUUUUUAGUAAAAUAAUUUGAUAAUUCCCAAUUUAAAACUGCAACAGAAAUUUAACCAAACCUAGCAAAAUUCGAAGGAUUUCGAUUGAACUUAUAUAGAAGUCUUUCAGUAAUGUAAAAAUCUCACUAAUUUUCGACAAUCACUUGUUGACCACACUCGACAAGGAGAAAUUGAAGAAGUAAAACAAAGAAAAAAAAUAAAAGAAAAAAUAAAAAGAAAGAAGAAGAGGAAAAGAUACAAACGUUAACUAACAGAAAUUCUCUUAACACAUACAAUGGG